rnacentral:tRNA from 1 species
GGUGGGUUGGCUCAGUGGAUAGAGACAAGGGCUGGUGACCAAGAGGUCCGGGUUCGAAUCUCGCAACAGGCGG